AGAAUCAACGCUGGCGGCGUGCCUAACACAUGCAAGUCGAACGAGAAAAGGGAGCAAUCCCUGAGUACAGUGGCGACCGGGUGAGUAACACGUGACUAACCUACCCUCGAGUGUGGAAUAACAUCGGGAAACCGAUGCUAAUACCGCAUAACAUCGCAAGAUCAAAGGAGUAAUCCGCUUGAGGAGGGGGGUCGCGGCUGAUUAGCUAGUUGGCGGGGUAAUGGCCCACCAAGGCGAAGAUCGGUA
rnacentral:rRNA from 1 species